CCUCUCAUGGCGUAGUGGUAACACGCCCCAACUAGAGAUCGGGGAGUCGUGAGUUCGAUUCUCACUGAGAAGA
rfam:Aedes aegypti strain Liverpool supercont1.15 genomic scaffold, whole genome shotgun sequence.